GGUUAUGGCUCAGCAGUAGAGCGCUUGCCUGGCAUAUAGGAGGCCCUGGGUUCGAUCCUCAGCACCA
rnacentral:tRNA from 1 species